UGUGCUACAAAGGAAUCUAUGUGCUGAGGAGACUAGAAAAUGAAAAGCUGUGGUUGUUUCCAGGCAUUUCUACAAAAGCAGGGCUGAUUCAGAAACACCAGACUAAACCAAGUGAUGGAGCUGGAAGAGAGCGCUUGGGUUCAGGUAGCCAUUGCGGGAAAACCAAAACAAGACCAAGAAAACCCAACGCUACCAGCAAAAUUCAUUUUGUUUCUGCCCAGACAUUGGAUGGAAGGACUAAAUUACCAAGCAGACACACAUUACACAGACAGGGGUUCCUCAUGCUGCACACCUAGACCCUCUACGAUUUGGUCAUGCCCUGACUGACUGGCGGGGAGGGGGAGAAGAGAGGGUGUAGAUGACAGACUGG